GACCACAGCCAUACCUCCCAGAACAUGUACCAAUCCUGUCUGAUCUCAGAAGCCAUGCAGGGUCGGGCCUGGAUAGUACUUGGAUAGAAGAAUCCUUUGCUUAGGCCAGACGAUGGUGGUGU
rnacentral:rRNA from 1 species